ACCUAGCUGGCUCAAUCCGUGGAGCAUGUGACUCUUGAUCUCAGGGUCAUGAGUUUGAGUCCCAUGUUGUGCA
rnacentral:tRNA from 1 species